rnacentral:rRNA from 1 species
UAUACGGUGAAACUGCGAAUGGCUCAUUAAAUCAGUUAUCGUUUAUUUGAUAGUACCUUACUACUUGGAUAACCGUGGUAAUUCUAGAGCUAAUACAUGCUAAAAACCCCGACUCCGGGAGGGGUGUAUUUAUUAGAUAAAAAACCAAUGCCCCUCGGGGCUCCUUGGUGAUUCAUGAUAACUUAACGAAUCGCAUGGCCUUGCGCCGGCGAUAGUUCAUUCAAAUUUCUGCCCUAUCAACUUUCGAUGGUAGGAUAGUGGCCUACCAUGGUAUCAACGGGUAACGGGGAAUUAGGGUUCUAUUCCGGAGAGGGAGCCUGAGAAACGGCUACCACAUCCAAGGAAGGCAGCAGGCGCGCAAAUUACCCAAUCCCGACGCGGGGAGGUAGUGACAAUAAAUACUGAUACAGGGCUCUUUUGGGUCUUGUAAUUGGAAUGAGUACAAUUUAAAUCCCUUAACGAGGAACAAUUGGAGGGCAAGUCUGGUGCCAGCAGCCGCGGUAAUUCCAGCUCCAAUAGCGUAUAUUAAAGUUGUUGCAGUUAAAAAGCUCGUAGUUGAACCUUGGGCCUGGCUGGCCGGUCCGCCUCACCGCGUGCACUGGUCCGGCCGGGCCUUUCCUUCUGGGGAGCCGCAUGCCCUUCGCUGGGCGUGCCGGGGAACCAGGACUUUUACUUUGAAAAAAUUAGAGUGUUCAAAGCAGGCCUUUGCUCGAAUACAUUAGCAUGGAAUAAUGGAAUAGGACGUGUGGUUCUAUUUUGUUGGUUUCUAGGACCGCCG